rnacentral:rRNA from 1 species
GCGGUUUGUCGCGUCGGCCGUGAAACUUGGGGCUUAACUCCAAGCUUGCGGUCGAUACGGGCAGACUUGAGUUCGGCAGGGGAGACUGGAAUUCCUGGUGUAGCGGUGAAAUGCGCAGAUAUCAGGAGGAACACCGGUGGCGAAGGCGGGUCUCUGGGCCGAUACUGACGCUGAGGAGCGAAAGCGUGGGGAGCGAACAGGAUUAAAUACCCUGGUAGUCCACACCGUAAAC